GCUUGCACAAGUGAAGCAAGCAAAAGUGUUGGGUUUAAUGCUUGACGAGUUUUUAAUUUGCACCAAGAAUAUUGACAACUUGUGUUCAACAACUUGCUUUAUUACGCAGGAUUAAACCCUUUUUAACUAAGGACUGUGCUCUUCGUUUCUAUAACUCCUGUAUUAAUUCAAGUCUUAUCUGCUGCUCUGUAACUUGGGGAAACUGCUCAAAAACACUUUUACUUCGCAUUCUUCGACUGCAAAAGCGUGCAGUACGUAUUAUUCUAGACGCUGACUUUUCUACUCCUUCUGUUCUUCUUUUUUCCCAGAUUCGAAUAAUCCCAAUCUUUGAUCUUUGUUAAAUUUAGGUAGCUUCUCUUCUUACCAAUUAACAUUCCCACAAAUCCCAGUGCUCCAUUUUCAUUUAAGCAAAUAUUUAAAUUCUUAUCUUCUAUUCGACAACGGGCUCUGACUAGAACUUGCGCAUAUGACCUUCAACCCCCCUUCCCGCGUACUGACUCUGGUAAACGAACAUUUCUGUACAGUGCUUCCAUUCUUUUUAAUUGCUUAGAUAGCGAUUGUAAGCAACUUGCUGCUUCGCCAUCUUGCUCUCCAUAUACUAACACCAAACAAAAAAUUCGUAAAAUCUUUCUUAACAAGCUUAACCUUACUAACCACAUCGAAGAUCUAUUUUAUAUAAAUUGUAA